rnacentral:rRNA from 3 species
UACGAAGGGGGCUAGCGUUGCUCGGAAUUACUGGGCGUAAAGGGCGCGUAGGCGGUCAUUUUAGUCAGGCGUGAAAUUCCCGGGCUUAACCUGGGGACUGCGCUUGAUACUGGGUGACUAGAGGGUGGAAGAGGGUCGUGGAAUUCCCAGUGUAGAGGUGAAAUUCGUAGAUAUUGGGAAGAACACCGGUGGCGAAGGCGGCGACCUGGUCCAUUACUGACGCUGAGGCGCGACAGCGUGGGGAGCAAACAGG